rnacentral:rRNA from 1 species
AUUGAACGCUGGCGGCAGGCCUAACACAUGCAAGUCGAGCGGAUGAAGGGAGCUUGCUCCUGGAUUCAGCGGCGGACGGGUGAGUAAUGCCUAGGAAUCUGCCUGGUAGUGGGGGAUAACGUCCGGAAACGGGCGCUAAUACCGCAUACGUCCUGAGGGAGAAAGUGGGGGAUCUUCGGACCUCACGCUAUAAGAUGAGCCUAGGUCGGAUUAGCUAGUUGGUGGGGUAAAGGCCUACAAAGGCGACGAUCCGUAACUGGUCUGAGAGGAUGAUCAGUCACACUGGAACUGAGACACGGUCCAGACUCCUACGGGAGGCAGCAGUGGGGAAUAUUGGACAAUGGGCGAAAGCCUGAUCCAGCCAUGCCGCGUGUGUGAAGAAGGUCUUCGGAUUGUAAAGCACUUUAAGUUGGGAGGAAGGGCAGUAAGUUAAUACCUUGCUGUUUUGACGUUACCAACAGAAUAAGCACCGGCUAACUUCGUG